CAUAGAUCAUAUCACUACUGUGAGAUAAAAGUGAAAGAGCAGCUCACAGAUCAGUGGGAAGUCACAUCAGGAGAACAUUAAGUAUUUGUAGCAUGUGAUUCCCUUGUGUUUUCAGUCUGUGAAAAAGCUGUUUGUCCCUUCAGCAGGCAGUGAUGGCAGCAGCAGCGUUCAGGAGCAGAGGACUGGCUGGUGUCAGAAACACCAACGUUUUAAUCCUCAUCUUUCUGCUGUCCCUGGUUUAUGUCACAAAUUCACUGAUGAAAGUAAGAACAAAGUCACUGCUGAAUUAACUGUUGCUGAAGGUACUUCUAUGAAACAUUUAUUUGCAAAUGUAAAACUACAGUCACUAUGUAACUCAUUAUAAGCAUAUCAGAGUUUAAAUGGACGCAUCCUGUUUUUGUAAAUUUAAAAAAAUUCUGACAAGUUUCUUAGAACAACUUAGGAAAUCAGAAAAAGCAAAAGCAGCCAGAAGGAAGGCGGGUCAGUCAGUUUCAUCUCUAUUGCAUGUUAUCAGUCAAAUUUGGUCAUGUAGGAAACAACAAAUGCGUAUGAGUCAUAUCAGUGCACACUAAGAGAACUGCAACUCAGUCUGACUGUAGAAGUAAGUUUGACUUAUAUCCCCAUUAAGUUAUUCAUAUGUAACUUUAUUAAAUUAAUUUGGUACAUGUUGUGGUAAACAGAGAAUGUCUUUUGCUUUUCUGAUAUUGCCCAAUAAUUCAUUAAUGUUUGAUUAUAUUUUUAAACAUUAUACAUGUGUAUGUAAUUUGUAUGUAACUGUAUCAUGUGAAGAUUUUCUCUUGCGCUUCUUCGUCAAGCCCUAAAGUUAAAAUAAAUCAGAGCUGAUGCUUCUUGUACAAACUGUAGCAUCCUCCCCCGCCCACUUACAAUGGA